UGGGCAGAAGGUGUAAGAAGUUGCCUCGCAAAAAUUGAAAAUCAUUCUUUGGGCUCUACUAAUGCUUUGGAGAGGGCAGAUUUAGAAUAUGUCACUGAAUUGUUGAGUUUUGAUACCAUGCCGUGUAACGAGCCUGGACAUCUUAAAUUGAAGGAGUAUGCUGAAGAGGCAAAGAAGUUGGCCGGAGAGAUUGAAUCUACUCUUUCGUCAUCUUCAAAGUUAUUGGAGUUGGAAAACCUUUACGAUAGAAGCUGUCGCUUAGGAAUCCUUGUCAAAGGAAGCGAGAAACUGGCACAGAAAAUUUCUUCGAUGGAGG